rnacentral:tRNA from 1 species
GGGGAUAUAGCUCAGUUGGUAGAGUGCUUGCCUUGCAUGCACAACUCCCUGGGUUCAAUCCCCAGCACCACUA